AGCAACUAGAAACGGUUGAAACGUGGUAAUGAUAAACAAGACAAAAGCGCACCGCUAAAGCACCGACGUGAUGCGGGUAGUAAAAGGAUAUGGUUGAUGUAGUGUGUAAAGAUGUGAGGAUGUGAUUUGGUAUUAGGAAAACAUAAAAAAUACCUGAUUUGCCUCCGUGUCCGGCUCGGGCGGACUCGAUACAACAAAAUGCAACCGUGUUUCAUCACUAUGGGCAUAAAACUAAAAAAAUCGAAAGGAAACAAAAGUUGAAGACGGACUUGAUACUGAUAGAGGAGGUGAUAAUGUGCCGAACUGCGAGUUGUACAAGUCUCGAGGCGCGCCGCGCGCGAACAACACUUACUUUUUCCACUUCGUCAUCGAAAGGAUCGCCGUUCGUCACGCUGUCACGCUGCGACAUCUCCAUUAGCGAAGCACGCUUCGCCGCAAAAUACAGAUUACGUUUCAGCUUCAGGUACAGCACUUCCGAGCACGCGCGUACCGUGUAAUCCGGCUGGAAGGUGUGCUUCAUCAUGCUGUCCAUAUUCAACGAUUGUAAACUGCCUAUCGUCGCUGGAGAUUCAACUAAAAACAAUGCGCACAUUAAAAUAAAAUCGAAAGCAUAAAACAA